rnacentral:rRNA from 1 species
GAUGAACGCUGGCGGCGUGCCUAAUACAUGCAAGUCGAGCGAAUGGAUUAAGAGCUUGCUCUUAUGAAGUUAGCGGCGGACGGGUGAGUAACACGUGGGUAACCUGCCCAUAAGACUGGGAUAACUCCGGGAAACCGGGGCUAAUACCGGAUAACAUUUUGAACCGAAUGGUUCGAAAUUGAAAGGCGGCCUUGGCUGUCACUUAUGGCUGGACCCGAAGCGCAUUAGCUAGUUGGUGAGGUAACGGCUCACCAAGGCAACGAUGCGUAGCCGACCUGAGAGGGUGAUCGGCCACACUGGGACUGAGACACGGCCCAGACUCCUACGGGAGGCAGCAGUAGGGAAUCUUCCGCAAUGGACGAAAGUCUGACGGAGCAACGCCGCGUGAGUGAUGAAGGCUUUCGGGUCGUAAAACUCUGUUGUUAGGGAAGAACAAGUGCUAGUUGAAUAAGCUGACACCUUGACGGUACCUAACCAGAAAGCCACGGCUAACUACGUGCCAGCCGCCGCGGUAA